rnacentral:rRNA from 1 species
GAUGAACGCUGGCGGCGUGCCUAAUACAUGCAAGUCGAGCGAACGGACGAGAAGCUUGCUUCUCUGAUGUUAGCGGCGGACGGGUGAGUAACACGUGGAUAACCUACCUAUAAGACUGGGAUAACUUCGGGAAACCGGAGCUAAUACCGGAUGAUAUUUUGAACCGCAUGGUUCAAAAGUGAAAGACGGUCUUGCUGUCACUUAUAGAUGGAUCCGCGCUGCAUUAGCUAGUUGGUAAGGUAACGGCUUACCAAGGCAACGAUGCAUAGCCGACCUGAGAGGGUGAUCGGCCACCCUGGAACUGAGACACGGUCCAGACUCCAACGGAAGGCAGCAGUAGGGAAUCUUCCGCAAUGGGCGAAGGCCUGACGGAGAAACGCCGCGUGGGUGAUGAAGGUCUUCGGAUCGUAAAACUCUGUUAUUGGGAAAGAACAUAUGUGUAAGUAACUGGGCACAUCUUGACGGAACCUAACCAGAAAGCCACGGCUAACUACGU